rnacentral:rRNA from 1 species
AUGACAGCGAGGGCUCUUGUCAAGGCUUACCCGCACAUCAAGUGCACCGUGUUGGACCUUCCGAAGGUGAUAGACAAAGCCCCAAAUGAUGGUGUCGUUAACUAUGUAGCGGGUGACCUAUUUCACACCGUCCCAUCUUCUCAAGCUGUGAUGCUCAAGCUUGUACUACAUUUCUGGAGCGAUGAGGAUUGUGUGAAAAUCUUGACCCAGUGCAAGAAGGCCAUUCCUCCACGCGACGAGGGAGGAAAGGUAAUUAUCAUAGACAUUGUGAUUGGACCUUCCUUAGGGCCAAUAAUGUUUGAAGCCCAACUCCUGAUGGAUAUGCUCAUGAUGGUGAACACAAGAGGGGUCCAACGGAGUGAAAAUGACUGGCGCAAGCUAUUCAUGGAAGCAGGAUUCAAAGACUAUAAAAUUGUGAAGAAACUGGGAGCUCGAUGCGUUAUCGAGGUCUACCCAUAA